rnacentral:rRNA from 1 species
UAGCGGCGGACGGGUGAGUAACGCGUGAGAAACCUGCCUUUCACAAGGGGAUAGCCUCGGGAAACUGGGAUUAAUACCCUAUGAUACUUUUAAAUCGCCUGAUUUUUAAGUUAAAGCGUAAAGCGGUGAAAGAUGGUCUCGCGUCCCAUUAGUUAGUUGGUGAGGUAGAGGCUCAUCAAGACGUCGAUGGGUAGCCGGCCUGAGAGGGUGAACGGCCACACUGGAACUGAGACACGGUCCAGACUCCUACGGGAGGCAGCAGUGGGGAAUAUUGCACAAUGGAGGAAACUCUGAUGCAGCGACGCCGCGUGAACGACGAAGGCCUUCGGGUCGUAAAGUUCUGUCCUUGGGGACGAUAAUGACGGUACCCAAGGAGGAAGCCCCGGCUAACUACGUGCCAGCAGCCGCGGUAAUACGUAGGGGGCGAGCGUUGUCCGGAAUUAUUGGGCGUAAAGGGUUCGCAGGCGGUUCCUUAAGUCAGAUGUUAAAUGCAUAGGCUCAACC